GGGAGCCGGAUGGUGUAACACUCCAAGUCCGGUUCUGCGAGGAGCCGGGAACGAACCGUCGUAUGGCCGAGAUCAUGUGGCACCGCCGGGAAACCAGGCGGCAAACAGAGAACACAAACGUCAGCCUAACCGAUGGCAAGGACCCGGCUUACUCUCC
rnacentral:autocatalytically_spliced_intron from 1 species